CCCUUAGAUGUCCUGGGCCGCACGCGCGCUACACUGAUGCAUGCAACGAGUCGUUUCAAGCCUGGGCCGAGAGGCCCGGGUAAUCUGUUGAACGUGCAUCGUGAUAGGGAUAGAUCAUUGCAAUUAUUGAUCUUGAACGAGGAAUUCCUAGUAAACGCGAGUCAUCAGCUCGUAUUGAUUACGUCCCUGCCCUUUGUACACACCGCCCGUCGCACCUACCGAUUGGAUGGUCCGGUGAAGCCUCGGGAUUGUGGUUCUUGCCGCUUUAUUGUGGCGUGACCGCGAGAACUUGUCUAAACCUUAUCAUCUAGAGGAAGGUGAAGUCGUAACA
rnacentral:rRNA from 1 species